rnacentral:rRNA from 1 species
AUUGAACGCUGGCGGCAGGCUUAACACAUGCAAGUCGAACGGUARCASRWAGRAGCUUGCUYCUUKGSUGACGAGUGGCGGACGGGUGAGUAAUGCUUGGGAAUCUGGCUUAUGGAGGGGGAUAACUACUGGAAACGGUAGCUAAUACCGCGUAAUGUCUWMGGACUAAAGGGUGGGACCAUUUGGCCACCUGCCAUAAGAUGAGCCCAAGUGGGAUUAGGUAGUUGGUGAGGUAAAGGCUCACCAAGCCCGCGAUCUCUAGCUGGUCUGAGAGGAUGACCAGCCACACUGGAACUGAGACACGGUCCAGACUCCUACGGGAGGCAGCAGUGGGGAAUAUUGCACAAUGGGGGGAACCCUGAUGCAGCCAUGCCGCGUGAAUGAAGAAGGCCUUCGGGUUGUAAAGUUCUUUCGGUGACGAGGAAGGCGAUUGUUUUAAUAGAACAGUCGAUUGACGUUAAUCACAGAAGAAGCACCGGCUAACUCCGU